rnacentral:pre_miRNA from 1 species
CAAAUACUCCCUCCGUCCGGAAAUACUUGUCAUCAAAAUGGAUAAAAGGAAAUGUAUCUAGACGUAUUUUAGUUUUAGAUACAUCUCUUUUUAUCCAUUUUGAUGACAAGUAUUUCCGGACGGAGGGAGUAGAAA